rnacentral:tRNA from 1 species
GGCCCCGUCGUCUAGUCUGGAUAGGACUCGGUUAACACCGCCUAAUGCGGGCCUGCGGAGCCCGUGGUCCCGGGUUCAAAUCCCGGCGGGGCCACCA